ACGGCGUAUUGGUCAAUGGGCGCAGGUCUGAACCAGUCACGUCCAGUCAGGGCAGUCGGCACUACGGGUUGUAAACCCUAUUUAUACGGGAAUAAGGUGCCCCACGUGAGGGGGUAUGCAUGUGUCGUCUGAAUAAGAAUCAGCUAACUCCGUGCCAGCAGCCGCGGUAAUACGGAGGAUCCGAGCGUUAUCCGGAUUUAUUGGGUUUAAAGGGUGCUCAGGCGGGGGGUUAAGUCGGCGGUGAAAUUUUGCAGCUCAACUGUAAAAGUGCCUUCGAAACUGGUUCCCUUGGGUGCGGAUGAGGUAGGCGGAAUUUGUGGUGUAGCGGUGAACUGCAUAGAUAUCACGAGGAACUCCGAUUGCGCAGGCAGCUUACCAAGCCGUAACUGACGCUCAAGCACGAAGGCGUGGGGAUCAAACA
rnacentral:rRNA from 1 species